UUCUUCGGAGAGUUUGAUCCUGGCUCAGGAUGAACGCUGGCGGCGUGCCUAAUACAUGCAAGUCGAGCGAACUGAUUAGAAGCUUGCUUCUAUGACGUUAGCGGCGGACGGGUGAGUAACACGUGGGCAACCUGCCUGUAAGACUGGGAUAACUUCGGGAAACCGAAGCUAAUACCGGAUAGGAUCUUCUCCUUCAUGGGAGAUGAUUGAAAGAUGGUUU
rnacentral:rRNA from 1 species